GCUUAAUGCGAUUUGUAAAGCUGUUGAAAAGGUAUCAUUUCCGAGAACGUGGAGCGCAGUUGCGGUCCCGUGCCAGGAACCGGCAGUACUUUUGCGUCGAAAAAUACGUAAUAAUGGAAAAACGCAGCUGGGCGCUACUGUUCGAAUCACGCGUUGAUCGUGGAUGCCCUUUAACUUCUCGUAACCCAUCUUGGUGGUGGCGGACACGAAACGGAAACACACAAGCGAACGACAGGUCCAAUGAACAGUGGGAAACCCGGACGUCCAAUUUGAGGAGUUAGCGCGAGAUCGAGAAUUACUCCCAACUUUCCUAAUCAGCUCCACUCAGUUUUCAAUUCCUUUAAUCUAAUACUACUACAUCGAUUUACUGAUCAAAGGCGACGCAGAAAUGUAUUCUAACUGGAGCGAAGGUCUCGUGUUUUGGUGUAGCACGCUCGAUAAAUGAAACUCGAUCCAAGAGCGAAUUUCGAGGUUUUAUGAUCGAGUUUUAUAGCGUGACAGAAUAAACAUUUUUAAUAGCUUGAUAAGCUCGAUCUAACUCUAUCGUUUUUACUUAAGUCUGUGAUAGUAUCGUUUCAUUAAAAUUUUCCUUUCAUAACGAUAAUAGAAACACGAUCAACAAUAUGAAAUUUAUGUGUUCAACU
rnacentral:misc_RNA from 1 species